rnacentral:lncRNA from 1 species
CACUUCAUAUACCAAGUAAUUUGAAAACUUGAGUAAUUUUAUUCAUGAUACAUUUGCUCUUUCCAAGUCAAAUUUCUAACACAAAUGAGCCAGUGUUUCAGAUCCCACUUAAUUCACACUCAUGUGUAGGUAAACAGGAGUGAGGACUAGUUUACAUGGAAUCUUCCAUUUCUCUUAGCUACCAAACUCUACGAGCUGUCAACUUUUAUCAAUUCUAUCUCCUAAAUAUGAGCAUUCUGCAAAAGAUACAAGUAGUGAACUGGCUUUUGAAAUUCCGCAUGGAGAAUAUGUCCCAACAACCACGAAUUACAUCCAGACAGCGCCAUCUACCAGUAGCACUCCAAACUGCAAAAGCGAAGCGAAAGCAGAAGAAGCUGUGCGAACUGGAGGACCACCACAAGCUCUGGGCUGAAGCGUGAGCACAUUUCCAAGACGAAGCAUAAAUACAUGCAUGAGUUACUGAAUCAGCUUGGGGAUUUGAAUGUGUUCUAAGAAGUCAAAGAGAAAAAUCUGCUUACAAACAUAAACAAUAAAGAGUUGUAAAUAUUAGUUAUUUGCCUCAAGGUAUUUCUUUUUU